GACGAACGCUGGCGGCGUGCCUAAUACAUGCAAGUCGAGCGGACAGAUGGGAGCUUGCUCCCUGAAGUCAGCGGCGGACGGGUGAGUAACACGUGGGCAACCUGCCUGUAAGACUGGGAUAACUUCGGGAAACCGGAGCUAAUACCAGAUACGUUCUUUUCUCGCAUGAGAGAAGAUGGAAAGAUGGUUUCGGCUAUCACUUACAGCUGGGCCCGCGGUGCAUUAGCUAGUUGGUGAGGUAAUGGCUCACCAAGGCGACGAUGCGUAGCCGACCUGAGAGGGUGAUCGGCCACACUGGGACUGAGACACGGCCCAGACUCCUACGGGAGGCAGCAGUAGGGAAUCUUCCGCAAUGGACGAAAGUCUGACGGAGCAACGCCGCGUGAACGAUGAAGGCCUUCGGGUCGUAAAGUUCUGUUGUUAGGGAAGAACAAGUACCAGAGUAACUGCUGGUACCUUGACGGUACCUAACCAGAAAGCCACGGCUAACUACGUGCCAGCCGCCGCCGUAAUAC
rnacentral:rRNA from 1 species